ACACUCCUACGGGAGGCAGCAGUGGGGAAUAUUGCACAAUGGGCGCAAGCCUGAUGCAGCCAUGCCGCGUGUAUGAAGAAGGCCUUCGGGUUGUAAAGUACUUUCAGCGGGGAGGAAGGCGAUAAGGUUAAUAACCUUGUUGAUUGACGUUACCCGCAGAAGAAGCACCGGCUAACUCCGUGCCAGCAGCCGCGGUAAUACGGAGGGUGCAAGCGUUAAUCGGAAUUACUGGGCGUAAAGCGCACGCAGGCGGUCUGUCAAGUCGGAUGUGAAAUCCCCGGGCUCAACCUGGGAACUGCAUUCGAAACUGGCAGGCUAGAGUCUUGUAGAGGGGGGUAGAAUUCCAGGUGUAGCGGUGAAAUGCGUAGAGAUCUGGAGGAAUACCGGUGGCGAAGGCGGCCCCCUGGACAAAGACUGACGCUCAGGUGCGAAAGCGUGGGGAGCAAACAGGAUUAGAUACCCUUGUAGUCCC
rnacentral:rRNA from 1 species